UCCAUCUCAAAAUGUAAUCCAAUAAUGGCGCGGUUACCAAGAAAGAUAAAUUACCAAUGAAAUAAACACUACUAAUGACUCAUUUGCAUACAUUAAGAAUGUGACAGCCCCACCUCUCCCUAAGGCGAACCAAAGGGUUCGGCAGGCCGCCUGCCCAACUCUCGCCGGGACUCAGUCGUUUACUACAGUCCUCAAUUAAAUUACAAUAUAAAAAUCAAAUAUCCAUCAAACUUUUGAAGAAUUACAUAUCACAAACCCGCUCAAGUCCAAACGUUCAUACAAUCCCUAAUAACAACUAUUACACAAGAUGAAAUCCAAAACUCAAACCAUACAUGAGAUAAUCCAUCCGGUCACAUGAAUACGUGCUACAAGCACUUCCUUCGUCUCGAGCCCUGUGGAGGGAAAUAAAACAUUUUUGGGGGUGAGCUAAAAGCUCAGCGAGUAACCAAUAAAAUCCGUAAGCAAAUCAGUUUCGCAGUCGUUCAUUUCAGUGAUGUCAUGAUUCCAAGAUCAAAUGUACAUUUAUUGCUCUCGUGAGCCAGUGAAAUCGUUGUACUUAAACACCCAACGCUCCAAACAAACAUUUAACAGUAAACAGUCAAAGGGGAAGCCAUUUGCUCCAGAUGAACAGUACACAGAGGUGGAGACGUUGGUGUUCAGUACCCGAAUUCCAAGUACUCAUUUAAGCCAAACGAUGUCAUGGGCCACAUGCAAGCACUCAUGAUAUGCAAUCAAGUAAAUAGUGCAAGAAACGGUUCAUAAGUAACUUUGGAAAUAGUUUAGGGUCACUCACCUCCACGGCUCAGAACCCAUCCGUCAUAUACCAUUAUCUUGUCCGAAUCCAAGCCCUAAACCCGAAAACAAAUUUGAUGUCAUUUAGCGGUUUUGGCACCAUUGGCACUACGAUUAUCGGAUGGAGGUGUAAGAUACACCGUUUCGAAGCUAAGAGAUAGAGCUACAAUAUUCCAGAAGGUCACUCAGUCCAGUUUGCAAUGUAUCUAAGUCAAAAUUGAAAUAUACGAAACCAGAAUCUCACAAACAGGUUGGCUAACUGCACAAUUGUUAAACAGCAAUAACUCAGGCUACCGAAGUCCGACUGAAGUGUAUCUUAUGGUGUGUCGAAGCUAAAACACAACCCUACAUUUCUUAUGAAGACCUCCAAGGACAAAUCAUGCAUUUUCAUGAUCCAAAAUGGAAAACUACACGAAAAUAGAAUUCUCGGCGCGAAACAGGUUUCAUGGACAGUCAAUGGUAUUUCGGUCAUUUCACAUGCUACAGUGGUUAGAUCAAGCUGAACUUUUGUAGGCAACUAGUUUAUACCCUUGGCUACAACUUUCAUGUUUUGGUCAAAAUCUAAUUCGGUAAGGAUCAUGGUAAAAAGUCACGAUCAGAUUGGGCGAAAAGACAACCCUGUUCGCUGAACUCCUACCUAGACCAGUCUGGGUAUUUCUGACUUAUCUCAGCAUAUACCACUCCAAUUCAAGUGAUUCCAAAGCCAUUUGAAAGCUAAGAUACAAGGCUAUAAUUCUUAAGAAGACAUCAACAACCAAAUCGGUAGUAUUCCCAGUCAAACUACCCAAUUACCAAAGCUGAUUACUAUUCUCGGAUAGAAACAGGAUAGCAGGGGUAUUUUGGUCUUUUUAUAGGAUACCGAGCUCAGAUUGAGCUGAAAAUUUACAGGUAACUAGAAACCAUCAUUCUCUACAACUUUCAUGUUUUGUGCUAAGGCCAAUUCGGCCUCUAACCUGGUCAAACAGAAACGGGAAGAAUAGGGAAAAAAAUUGAAACCCUAAACUGGAAUUCAUGCAUUCAAGUACUAAUCUUCGACAAAAACAUCUCUUUAGCUAUUACAAGUCAUUAAUUUAACAAAAUCAAGAACAAAGAAAGGAUGGCUAGACAUGAUACCUUGGAAUAUCAAGAAAGGUAAUGGCAUAGGGAUUUUUCUUCCAAAACAACUCCACCAAUAGCUUCAAUCUUCCUUAGCUAGCAAGUUUUAUGGAGUGAUUUGCAAUUUAAUCGGUUGGAACUCAAGAUUUGAGCAAGAAUUGAAGUUGAAGUUGAAGAAAAUCUCUCUUGUUCUUUCCUCACCAAAAAUUUCAGCCAAGACAAUAAAAAUGGAAGAAAUUGGGUCAAAAUUUGGUUUAGUAAAGCUUAAGACAAGUCCAAGUCAAAGUCAAGGUCCAAUAGUUAGGUGACAAAUGGUCCUCUAGGAUUUUAAUCUCAUCCUUUUGUCUCUCCAAGAUUAAACCAUCUAAGUAACCUCUAAUUAUCUCUUAGCACCUUGUAAAAUAAUAUCACUUAAUACAAAACUCCAAUAAGUUAUCAAAAAUAUAUUGCAUUUACCGCACUAGCGGGUCCCACGUCCGGUAUACGCUCUUAAUUUCUCAAAAACUAACCGGUACUAGGAAAAUCAUCUAAACACUAUAUUCACUCAAUAAAAAUUAUUUGGGGAAAUUUUCUAAUAAAGAAAAUGUCGAAAAGGCGGGCGAUCAAUAAAAUAAACCCUAGAAACUUAGAAAAUUUCCGAGUUCUCGCACUCAUUCUUUCGGGCGUCACAAAGAAUCUCUCAAGUCCGAUCAAUACAUUAUGGAAUUUCAAGGGUCCAAGAGUAAAUAAGUGUCAAUGAGUGGUUUAAAUUGCAUUUUAGGACCCAAAAGCAACCAUUAACCAAUCCAUCAAGGCCAAUUAAGACAUUUUAGGAACUUCAAGGAUCUCAAAAUAAUAAAUGGCCAAAUGACGGUUCAAAUUGCAAUCAACUUUGGACUGAAUCGCAAGAAAUUGGAAUGUAAUUGGGCCACAGUGCAACAAAGGGAGACUUGGAGGGUCAAAAUGCAAAACUCAGAAUUUUUCCAUGCAUGCAUACGAAUAGCUUUCUUCAUUUCUGGUCGCUAUGUUUCUGCAAAUGCUUCUCACUAGUCACCCAAACAUCUUAAACAAGGCUUUAAACUCGACAUUUAUUAGCUUCCUUAAGACCAUCAUCAUGCGCAAAAACUAAUCAUGCAAAACGAAAUGAAACAAAGCAGAGAGUGGCCAUAGGAUCAGAUUUCUUGCUGCAAAUUUCUGCAACUAAUUCAUGCAAAACUACGGUGGAAGCUUCUGCAAAAACUCUCGGCAGCUGCUAAGAAAAUUCUGCAAUAAACUAGCUACCAACUUUCAUUUUUCAAGCACGGAUCUUAGCCUCAAAACACAACUUCGAACGGAAACAAACUCAAACAAACAUCAAAACAUUGAUCUAAACCAAAACCCCGCUGGAUCUUAGCAUUUAAACAUACAAAAAGAAGCUCAACCCAGCGGCUGUUUCGAGAAAGAAAAUGGUGAAGAAAAUGCAGACAGCUUUUAGUUUCUUAUACACUUUUAACACACCAAGGAAAUGAUUUAAUGCAGUUCCCUAUUUGUCCAAAACCUGAAAUGAAAGAAUAUGAAGCAGAGGAGAGGGGAGGCACUCAAUCAGACACUCUCGGACACAAAGUGCAGAAAGGCAACGUGAAAUGGCUGCUCAAAUAUGCAAAAUUCGAGACUAGCAAUUCCUACCCAAUUUCCAAACCAACAAAACCCAUGUUAUCUAAGCCUUUUAUUGCUAAAAUCCAUUGUCAACAUCGCAAAAACACCAAAGAAACAGCAAUCAAGGAAGCUUUAGGAAUCCAAACACGACAAAAAAUCAUAAAACUGAAAGUUUUCUGCAGUUUUUUCUGGUUUUUGCUCAUUCGAACACCACUGAUAGCUUCAAUCAACGAAACAUGAAUCAAAGUUACAACAUAACCGCACAUUCUCCCCUUUAAAAACACAAGAACUUUCUCAUAUUUAAAUACGAAAUUUAGAGGAAAAAGGCCUGCAGAAAUCUGAAAAAAUUUCUACAAUUUCCUUUUCGGCAAAUCUGAAGAUUAAACCAUCGGCUAAAGGAAACUAGAAAUGAUUUCUAUAUCCUGGGUUCCAUGACCUAUAACAAACACGAUUCAAACACGAAGAUAUAGCCAAAACAAAUUACCGAACAGGGAUAUAGCCAAAACCAGAGAGGAAACCACGAAGACAGGAGAACAAAACAUGGCGUGCACAAAGAAGAAAUUCAUGCAAUGAAACCCAGAUCUUCCCAAAUGGUAUGAAAAAAGACAGCAAGAAAGGCUAGAAUCACCUGCAAACGUUGGUGAAAUAAAUCAGCCGUGAGAAACUCAAAAAAAAGGGCGCUGGUCUCCGGAAAACAACGCUCAGGCAGAUCAGCGGCAGCAGUAUUGGAGAAUCCUUGCUUUUUCUUUUCCUUUGUUGAUGACUUUCUCAACCGUAUCUCUCUCUCUCUCUCUCACUAUUUCUCAAUCUACUCUGUUUUCCCUUAGUUUCUUUGCCCUCUGUUCUUGCCUUUCUUCCUAUCUAGUCGACCACCAUCUGAGUUCCUUACUUCCUCCGCUGUCCCUUUUUCCUCUCAGCCGUCACCCUCUCUUCCUCACUCUAUCUCCCUUGGUUAACUUCCUCAGCCGUUGUUUUUUUUUCUCUCUGUUCCUAGAACCUCACGCUGCUCUCCUCUUUUGCCGUCAAAAAACCUCUUCUUGCUUUUACCCGUAGCCUUUUUCUUUUCUUUUUUUUUCUGAAGUUUCUCCCGAUCCCUCUCUUACUCCCCAGAUUUUUCUCUCUGUCGGCUGCUGCUAAAUGCCAAAAC
rnacentral:lncRNA from 1 species